rnacentral:rRNA from 1 species
GACGAACGCUGGCGGCGCGCUUAACACAUGCAAGUCGAACGGAAAGGCCUGCUUUCCCUUGUGGAUUGCGGGUACUCGAGUGGCGAACGGGUGAGUAACACGUGAGUGAUCUGCCCCCAACUUGGGUAUAAGCCUGGGAAACUGGGUCUAAUUCCCGAUAGGACUGCAGGGUGGUGCCUGUGGUGGAAAACGAUUUUCUAGUGGUUGGGGAUGAGCUCGCGGCCUAUCAGCUUGUUGGUGGGGUAAUGGCCUACCAAGGCGGCGACGGGUAGCCGGCCUGGGAGGGUGGACGGCCACAUUGGGACUGAGAUACGGCCCAGACUCCUACGGGAGGCAGCAGUGGGGAAUAUUGCACAAUGGGCGGAAGCCUGAUGCAGCGACGCCGCGUGGGGGAUGACGGCCUUCGGGCUGUAAACUCCUUUCGACCGCGAGGAAGCCACCUGGUUGGAAGGGUGGUGACGGUAGUGGUAGAAGAAGCACCGGCUAACUACGUG